rnacentral:rRNA from 1 species
GCACGCCGCGUGAGUGAUGAAGGUUUUCCGGAUCGUAAAACUCUGUUGUUAGGGAAGAACAAGUACCGUUCGAAUAGGGCGGUACCUUGACGGUACCUAACCAGAAAGCCACGGCUAACUACGUGCCAGCAGCCGCGGUAAUACGUAGGUGGCAAGCGUUGUCCGGAAUUAUUGGGCGUAAAGCGCGCGCAGGCGGUUUCUUAAGUCUGAUGUGAAAGCCCCCGGCUCAACCGGGGAGGGUCAUUGGAAACUGGGGAACUUGAGUGCAGAAGAGGAGAGUGGAAUUCCACGUGUAGCGGUGAAAUGCGUAGAGAUGUGGAGGAACACCAGUGGCGAAGGCGACUCUCUGGUCUGUAACUGACGCUGAGGCGCGAAAGCGUGGGGAGCGAACAGGAUUAGAUACCCUGGUAGUCCACGCCGUAAACGAUGAGUGCUAAGUGUUAGAGGGUUUCCGCCCUUUAGUGCUGCAGCAAACGCAUUAAGCACUG